GGAUUAGUCACCUACAGAAAACAGUC
rnacentral:piRNA from 1 species